GACGAACGCUGGCGGCAGGCUUAACACAUGCAAGUCGAGCGCCCCGCAAGGGGAGCGGCAGACGGGUGAGUAACGCGUGGGAAUCUACCCAUCUCUACGGAAUAACGCAUGGAAACGUGUGCUAAUACCGUAUACGUCCUUCGGGAGAAAGAUUUAUCGGAGAUGGAUGAGCCCGCGUUGGAUUAGCUAGCUGGUGGGGUAAAGGCCUACCAAGGCGACGAUCCAUAGCUGGUCUGAGAGGAUGAUCAGCCACACUGGGACUGAGACACGGCCCAGACUCCUACGGGAGGCAGCAGUGGGGAAUAUUGGACAAUGGGCGCAAGCCUGAUCCAGCCAUGCCGCGUGAGUGAUGAAGGCCCUAGGGUUGUAAAGCUCUUUCACCGGUGAAGAUAAUGACGGUAACCGGAGAAGAAGCCCCGGCUAACUUCGUGCCAGCCGCCGCAGUAACAC
rnacentral:rRNA from 1 species